CUUCUUCUUCUUCCUCUAGGGUGGAGCCAGGCAUAUUUUCCAUCAUAAAGAAAUAAUCCCAAGCCAUGCCCUUGGCUUCCGGCAUCGGCGGCACCGGAUGGUUUCCCGGUGGUGGUGGUGGGGCCCGCAGCUGUGAAUCUCCAGGCCCCACUUUCUCAGGAUGUGGUCCCCCUCUGUUUCUAAAGCUGUGAUCCAAUUGCUCUUCCUCCUCCUCUUCUUCUUCCUCCUCUUCAUCUUCUUCAG
rnacentral:lncRNA from 1 species